rnacentral:rRNA from 1 species
AUUGAACGCUGGCGGCAUGCCUUACACAUGCAAGUCGAACGGCAGCGCGGGAGCAAUCCUGGCGGCGAGUGGCGUACGGGUGAGUAAUAUAUCGGAACGUGCCCAGUAGUGGGGGAUAGCCCGGCGAAAGCCGGAUUAAUACCGCAUACGACCUACGGGUGAAAGGGGGGGAUCGCAAGACCUCUCGCUAUUGGAGCGGCCGAUAUCAGAUUAGGUAGUUGGUGGGGUAAAAGCCCACCAAGCCUACGAUCUGUAGUUGGUCUGAGAGGACGACCAGCCACACUGGGACUGAGAAACGGCCCAGACUCCUACGGGAGGCAGCAGUGGGGAAUUUUGGACCAUGGGGGCAACCCUGAUCCAGCAAUGCCGCGUGCAGGAAGAAGGCCUUCGGGUUGUAAACUGCUUUUGUCAGGGAAGAAAUCCCUUGGGUUAAUACCUCGGGGGGAUGACGGUACCUGAAGAAUAAGCACCGGCUAACUACGUGCCAGCAGCCGCCGUAACAC